rfam:Firmicutes bacterium CAG:94 genomic scaffold, scf228
ACUUCCGUCCAGCCACAGAAUCACACAAUGGGGGCGGCCGGGUGAGAACCACGCGGGGUGAGAAUCCAUGA